GACUGCUCCGAUAGCGUAGUGGUCAGAGCGUCCGCUUCUGAUGCGGGAGAUCGUGGGUUCGAUCCCCGGCCAAGUCA